rnacentral:rRNA from 1 species
GGGUGAGUAACAGGUAUGCAACCUGCCCCUGUCAGGGGGACAACCCGCCGAAAGGCGGGCUAAACCCGCGUACAUGCCACCGGGGCAUCCCGGAGGCAGGAAAGGCUUCGGCCGGACAGGGAUGGGCAUGCGGCGCAUUAGGCAGUAGGCGGGGUAACGGCCCACCUAACCGACGAUGCGUAGGGGUUCUGAGAGGAAGGUCCCCCACACUGGUACUGAGACACGGACCAGACUCCUACGGGAGGCAGCAGUGAGGAAUAUUGGUCAAUGGUCGGGAGACUGAACCAGCCAAGCCGCGUGAGGGAGGAAGGUACAGAGUAUCGUAAACCUCUUUUGUCAGGGAACAAAGACUGGGACGCGUCCCCGGAUGAGUGUACCUGAAGAAAAAGCAUCGGCUAACUCCGUGCCAGCAGCCGCAGUAAUACGGAGGAUGCGAGCGUUAUCCGGAUUUAUUGGGUUUAAAGGGUGCGCAGGCGGUCUGUUAAGUCAGCGGUCAAAGCCCGGGGCUCAACCCCGGCCCGCCGUUGAAACUGGCAGUCUCGAGUUGGAGAGAAGUAUGCGGAAUGCGCGGUGUAGCGGUGAAAUGCAUAGAUAUCGCGCAGAACUCCGAUUGCGAAGGCAGCAUGCCGGCUCCACACUGACGCUGAGGCACGAAAGCGUGGGUAUCGAACAGGAUUAGAUACCCUGGUAGUCCACGCAGUAAACGAUG